GACUUAUCUCCCAUCUCCUGGCUGACAUCAUCCACAUUAAAACCUUCUUCCCUAGCAAUACUCGUUGUUUCAAUGGAUAGCUUUCGAUACAGUGAGAAACCACAGCUUGGCCAACACCCAGGCAUUCAGCAAUAAAAUUCUGGUGCUGUGACUUGGAUUGCAGUGCUUGUGGCUCAGUGGCCACAGGCUAGAGAGAUCUGGAAACCCUCCCAGCAGCUGCCCAGCUAUAUUCAUCCAGAGGCGGGUUUUUGUUUCUCUCUCUUCCCUCACUGCUGCUGGCCCCAACCAUAUUCUUGAUUACUUAUGAAGGACAGGCUUUGAAAUUUGACAUCUGUAUCCAUCAAGUAGAGACGGGGUUUCACCGUGUUAGCCAGGAUGGUCUCAAACUCCUGACCUCGUGAUCCGCCUGCCUCGCCUCCCAAAGUGCUGGAUUACAGGCGUGAGCCACCGCGCCCUGCCACAAGAGGGUAAGGAAACUGAAAUAUGACAAGGUUAAAUGAUUCAGAUGAGGGGCCGGAAAGCACGCCUCCCGAGACCCAUUCCUGGAAGCGGGUCUUUAAAGCUGCUCUCAGUUUAAAAUCAACCAAAUGCUCAGAUAUCAGAUGCGGAAACUGAGGCACAGGGAAUUUGAACAACUUGCUCAAGGUCAUAAAGCUAGAAGGAGGCACAGCCAAGCAUGGGCUUGUGUGACCUCAAAGCCUAUGUUCUCGCCACUGCUCUAAACUGUUUAUUCUGUUGGCUUGUCAUAAUGAUUGAAGACAAUGUAUAUAAAUCACAGAGGGUAGGACUCAGCUUGUAAUAUGUCCUCCAUACAUUUUAUCGAACAUUAUUAAUUAAUAAACAACAGAUAAAUAACAACAGUGCUUUGUUUGAUUAAAUUAUAUAUAUGAUUAUAUUUCUUCAGUGAAAUUGUUGGUUAUGCAUUUCUUACAAAUAAUUCACAAAUAUUAAUGAAUGUCUGUGUUGCAGCAGGCAUUUUGCUCACCACGGUGGACCUGGGGGUAUGUGAAAUAGGCACCAUCUCUGCUCUCACAAAUUUAAUACGUGCAGGCUGCUGGAUUGGACUAAAGUCCUGAGGAGAACUAUAACAAUCUCUUAGAGGGAACAGUGAUUAAACAGGGAUCAAUUGUGCCACCCAUAUAGCCUUCCUACUUACUGAUCAAGAAUGAUAGCAGACCUUAGCAAGUGCAAAUCAACAAGAGGAAUCCAAUGGUGCUAUUCACUACUAUGAAGCUUUUCAUUUUGCCUCUUACUAAGAUUUCAAAGCUAUUCUUGCCCCCCACCCCACACAAAAACAAAUACUGUGCAAUCUCACUUACAUGUGGAAUCUGAAAAAGUUGAACUCGUAGAAGCAGAGAGUACAAUAGUGGGUGCCAUGGGCUGGGGGUGGAGGAAAUGGGAGAUGAUAGUCAAGGGUACAAACUUUCAGUUAUAAGAUGAACAAGUUCUGGGGCUCUAAUGUACACGAUGGGUGGUGAUGAAUGUUUUAAUUAAUUUGAUUAUUGUAAGAAUUACACAAUGUAUACAUUUAUCUAAUCAUCAUAUUAUAUACCUUGAAUAUAUUUGACCUUUAUUUCCCAAUUAAAUAUUUUAAAAUAAAAUAUAUUUAAA
rnacentral:lncRNA from 1 species